CGCCUGUUUAUCAAAAACAUGUCUGUUUGAAGGUAUAGAAAGUCUGGCCUGCCCACUGAUAUAUUUAAAGGGCCGCGGUAAUUUGACCGUGCAAAGGUAGCAUAAUCGUUAGUUUUUUAAUUGGAAUCUUGUAUGAAUGGUUGAACAAAAGAAUAACUGUCUCUAUUUUUAUUCGAAUUUAACUUUUAAGUGAAAAGGCUUAAAUGUUUUAAAAAGACGAUAAGACCCUAUAAAGCUUGAUAAAUUUCGGUAUUGAAUUGAAUUUAACUUAUAAAGCAUAAAAAAUUCAGUCUUAAAAGUUUAUUUUGUUGGGGCGACAAUGAUAAAGUGUUGUUAACUGUUUGAGGUAAAGACAAUAAAUUGUUGAUUACUGAUUUAAAUGAUCCUUCAUAGAGAUUAAAAGUUUAAGUUACUUUAGGGAUAACAGCGUUAUUUUUCUUGAGAGUUCAUAUCGAAAGAACAGUUUGCGACCUCGAUGUUGAAUUAAAAUUUCUAUAUAAUUGCAGAAGUUAUAGUAGAAGUCUGUUCGACCUUUAAAUUUUUACGUGAUCUGAGUUCAGACCGG
rnacentral:rRNA from 1 species